UGACACCUGGCAGGGCAGAUACCAUGAUCACAAAGGUGCUUUUGCUAGGGUGAUUGCUUAUCCAUUACACUCUGGAUGUGCUAAUUUAUGCAGUUUAUUCAAAUGUGGAAAACUUGACUGCAUAACUUGUUGCAGUAAUAGACCGGUUCAAACUAUCCUCUGA